AUUGAACGCUGGCGGCAUGCCUUACACAUGCAAGUCGAACGGCAGCACGGGUGCUUGCCCCUGGUGGCGAGUGGCGAACGGGUGAGUAAUACAUCGGAACAUGUCCUGUAGUGGGGGAUAGCCCGGCGAAAGCCGGAUUAAUACCGCAUACGAUCCACGGAUGAAAGCGGGGGACCUUCGGGCCUCGCGCUUUAGGGUUGGCCGAUGGCUGAUUAGCUAGUUGGUGGGGUAAAGGCCUACCAAGGCGACGAUCAGUAGCUGGUCUGAGAGGACGACCAGCCACACUGGGACUGAGACACGGCCCAGACUCCUACGGGAGGCAGCAGUGGGGAAUUUUGGACAAUGGGCGAAAGCCUGAUCCAGCAAUGCCGCGUGUGUGAAGAAGGCCUUCGGGUUGUAAAGCACUUUUGUCCGGAAAGAAAUCCUUGACUCUAAUACAGUCGGGGGAUGACGGUACCGAAAGAAUAAGCACCGGCUAACUACGUG
rnacentral:rRNA from 1 species